AGGGAAAAAAGACGUCCUUUGAUGAUAGCGAUGAAGAAGAUUCUUCUGAUUCAAACCCUCCCAUGGAAGCAGAAUAUGAAGAAGUCAGUGACCCAGUCAAAAACGAUGAACCAAAAUUGAAGCUGAAGAAAUUGUGCUAGCGGCUCUUGAAACAGGCACCUGGGAACUCGUUAAAGCUGAAGCAACUUAAUGUGCUAAUUGAUGAACUAUCAUCAGAUUUUUUCUGUAGAUAAAGCGGCUCUUGAAACAGGUUUCUUUAGAUUGUUUUUGUCACUGAUUAAGUAAUUUAUUCGAAGCCAUGGCUUGACUUCCCUUCAUUGAUGUCUCACACUCCAGGCACCUGGGAACUCGUUAAAGCUGAAGCAACUUAAAGUGCUAAUUGAUGAACAAUCAUCAGAUUUUUUCUGUAGCUUCAAUAAAAAAGAGGCAUUUGGUAUUUUGAAGAGUAAGGUAAAGUACAUUUUCAUUUACAGACUUGCCUUCUAUAACCCAUGAAUCUUGUAGUGUCUUUUGGCAGGAGAUAUCAUUCUGUCUUUUCAACCAUCUUUGUCCUUGUUCGUUUAGCAUGC
rnacentral:lncRNA from 1 species